rnacentral:rRNA from 1 species
CAUGCAUCGUAUUAUCUCAAGAUUAGCCAUGCAUGUCUAUGCACAAGCCAAAACAAGGUGAAGCCGCGAAUUGCUCAUUACAACAGCCAUUGUUUACUGGAUCUUAACUAUCCUACUUGGAUAACUGUGGUAAUUCUAGAGCUAAUACACGCACGAAGCUCUGACCGCAAGGGAUGAGCGCAUUUAUUAGAACAAAAACCAAUCAGGCUUUGCCUGUUAUUGGUGGAUCUGAAUAACUCAGCUGAUCGCACGGUCUCGCACCGGCGACGCAUCUUCCAAGUGUCUGCCUUAUCAACUUUUGAUGGUAGUUUAUGCGACUACCAUGGUUGUAACGGGUAACGGAGAAUAAGGGUUCGACUCCGGAGAGGGAGCCUGAGAAACGGCUACCACAUCCAAGGAAGGCAGCAGGCGCGCAAAUUACCCAAUCUCAGAACGAGGAGGUAGUGACGAAAAAUAACGAGACGGUUCUCUUUGAGGCCCGUUAUCGGAAUGAGUACAAUUCAAACCCUUUAACGAGGAUCUACGAGAGGGCAAGUCUGGUGCCAGCAGCCGCGGUAAUUCCAGCUCUCGAAGUGUAUAUCAUUGUUGUUGCGGUUAAAAAGCUCGUAGUUGGAUCUGCGUCUUUGGAGCCGGUCUUCCCAACGGGACAGCACUGGUCUCCUGGACUAAAAUGGCUGGUUUUGCCUUGGUGCUCUUCACCGGGUGCCUUGGCUGACUAGCAAGUUUACUUUGAAAAAAUUAGAGUGCUCAAAACAAGCGUUUGCUUGAAUACUGGUGCAUGGAAUAAUGGAAUAGGAUCUCGGUUCUAUUUUGUUGGUUUUCGGAACGUGAGAUAAUGAUUAAGAGGAACAGACGGGGGCAUUCGUAUUGCAGCGCUAGAGUGAAAUUCUUGGACCGCUGCAAGACGAACAACUGCGAAGGCAUUUGCCAAGAAUGUUUCAUUAAUCAAGAACGAAAGUUAGAGGUUCGAAGCGAUCAGAUACCGCCCUAGUUCUACCGUAACGAUGCAGACUAGCGAUCCGAUGGCGUUAUUACUGACUCAUCGGGGGAGCUUCCCGGAAACGAAGGUCUAUAUUUUCCCGGGGAAAUAUGAAUU